rnacentral:tRNA from 1 species
CUACUAGUAUGUACUACUAGUACUAGUUCUAGUACUAUUAGUACUAGUACUACUAGUACGAACUACUAGUACUAGUUCUAGUACUAGUACUACUAGU